rnacentral:tRNA from 1 species
UGGCUCAGUCAGCAGGGUGCUUGCCUUCUAAACAGGAGGACCUGGGUUUGAGUCCCAG